AUAUAUCAACCUUCUCUUGUUGAGUGGUUUGGAUGUGGGGGGUUUUGCUGGCCUCUUUAAAAAGGAGGUUCAGCUCCUCUGAAAUGCAUUAGCAGAAUGAAACCUUGUUCAUUGGUGUGAUAACCCUAUCAGUGCUAUUGAACACAAGGGCAAAGUUCAGCUUUCCAACAGUCCUUGGACAAUUUAUCAUUA
rnacentral:misc_RNA from 1 species